GGAAAAAAGACCAGAAAUAUACCAUCCAGGUGCCAGUGGUGAAUUCACAUGCCAGAGAGUAAGAAGUGAUCUUCUUUUAAAUGUGAAGAUGAUUUUGAUCUACAUCAUCAUCGCAACUCCAGCAAUGACCGCUGUGGCACAAGGGUCUUCAGAAUGCAAUGUAACUGAACCUGGACCCCAGACGUGUUUUGGAGUUUUAGGAGAACCACUCGUUUUUUACAUACCUACUAAACCACAUGUGAAGACAAGCUUGAAAAAGAGUACAGAAAAAAUUUUAACCUUAAUAAAUGAUACAUUAAUUAGUCUCAAUGAAAAAUACAAGAAUCGUACUACAGUCUCCACAAAUGGAACAUUGAAGCUCAACAAAGCAACAAAACAUGACUCUGGAGAGUACAGCAUGGAAACACACAGUUCUACUGACGGUGUGUUAUUGCACACAGUUAACAUCCAUCUACAUAUACUUGCUCCUGUGUCAGAACCAGCUGUUACGCAGAUGUGUUUGUCACCAAACCAGAUGACAGUCAGCUGUUUCUCUGAAGGAGAUGAAGUAGAGUUCAUUUUGUCUUUGGAUGAUAAGUUGUUGAUACAGACUACAGCCAACGGUAUAGGAAACUGCAACAUUUCAAAUGUUACCAUUAACUUACCUGGUCAACUGAUGGAAAACCUGACAUGUGUUGCUCAAAACAAUGUCAGCAGAAAACAAAAUAUCACCCACCUUACAAGCUGUACAGCUCCUGUGUCAGAACCAGCUGUUUUGCAGAUGUGUUUGUCACCACAACAGAUGACAGUCAGCUGCUCCUCUGAAGGAGAUGAAGUAGAGUUCACCUUGUUUUUGGAUGAUAACUUGUUGAUAAAAACCCAACCUAGCAUUGCAGAAAACCGCAACAUUUCAAAUGUUUCUAUCAGUUUACAUGGUCAGCUGCUGGGAAAGCUGAUGUGUAUCGUCCAAAACAAUAUAAGCAGAGAACAAACCAUCAUCCACCUUAUAAGCUGCACAGGUAAUAUUUCUGACCACUGCAUUGUGACUGUGGCUGUGGUAGUAAGCGCUGUUGCCAUUCUACUCAUUCUGGCUGUGUUUCUUGGUAUCCGGAAAUUCAAAAACACAACUGGCAUUAUGACUGUUAAUGAAGAUGAAGCUGAAGAGGACGUUGUCUACUCAGAUAUUAGACUGAAGCAGCUUGCAAGAGAAUCAAGAGAAACACCACCUAUUUCAAAUCAAGAUGAAAGUUAACAUUCUCCUAAACAGUCUGACAUUCUGAAACCUAAACCCUAACAUGUUGACUUUCAGUCAACUGUCUAAUAAAACUAUGGCACUUUAGCAAUUCCAUCUUUGCAGUGAACGUGAAGGUAAACAUAUUUAACAAGUACUCACUGGAUUAUUAAUUUUGAAGGAAACAUAAAGGGGGGGAAAGUUAUUUAGAAGGCAUUUGAUAUACAUGAAAUACUUAUUUAUACUUAUUUAUAAAUGCUUUAUAUUUGAACUACAU
ensembl:lncRNA